UGGGGGAUCGUCUAACGGUAGGACAACGGACUCUGACUCCGUUUAUCUUGGUUCGAAUCCAAGUCCCCCAGCCA
rnacentral:tRNA from 2 species